rnacentral:rRNA from 1 species
AACGAACGCUGGCGGCAUGCCUAACUCAUGCAAGUCGAACGAGAUCUUCGGGUCUAGUGGCGCACGGGUGCGUAACGCGUGGGAAUCUGCCCUUUGGUUCGGAAUAACAGUUGGAAACGACUGCUAAUACCGGAUGAUGGCGAAAGUCCAAGAUUUAUCGCCAGAGGAUGAGCCCGCGUAGGAUUAGCUAGUUGGUGUGGUAAAGGCGCACCAAGGCGACGAUCCUUAGCUGGUCUGAGAGGAUGAUCAGCCACACUGGGACUGAGACACGGCCCAGACUCCUACGGGAGGCAGCAGUGGGGAAUAUUGGACAAUGGGCGAAAGCCUGAUCCAGCAAUGCCGCGUGAGUGAUGAAGGCCUUAGGGUUGUAAAGCUCUUUUACCCGGGAUGAUAAUGACAGUACCGGGAGAAUAAGCUCCGGCUAACUCCGUGCCAGCCGCCGCGGUAA